rnacentral:rRNA from 1 species
UACGUAGGGUGCGAGCGUUGUCCGGAAUUAUUGGGCGUAAAGAGCUCGUAGGCGGCUUGUCGCGUCGGUUGUGAAAGCCCGGGGCUUAACCCCGGGUCUGCAGUCGAUACGGGCAGGCUAGAGUUCGGUAGGGGAGAUCGGAAUUCCUGGUGUAGCGGUGAAAUGCGCAGAUAUCAGGAGGAAUACCGGUGGCGAAGGCGGCUAUCUGGCCAUGUACUGACGCUGAGACACGAAAGCGUGGGGAGCAAACAGG